rnacentral:rRNA from 1 species
UUUUAGAAAUUAAUUUAAAGUCUGACCUGCCCACUGAAAAUUUUUAAAUGGCCGCAGUAUCCUAACUGUGCAAAGGUAGCAUAAUCAUUAGUCUUUUAAUUGAAGGCUGGAAUGAAUGGUUGAAUGAAAUAUUAACUGUUUCAUGUAAAUUUAUAAUAGAAUUUUAUUUUUUAGUCAAAAAGCUAAAAUUUCAUUAAAAGACGAGAAGACCCUAUAAAUCUUUAUAUUUAAAUAAUUUUAAUUAUUUAGAUAAAUUAAAUUAUAAUUUUUUUAAAUAUUUUAUUGGGGUGAUAUUAAAAUUUAAUAAACUUUUAAUUUUUAAUUUACAUUAAUUAAUGAAUUAUUGAUCCAUUUAUUAUGAUUAAAAAAUUAAGUUACUUUAGGGAUAACAGCGUAAUUUUUUUAGAGAGUUCAUAUUGAUAAAAA